UUCUGCAACCUCCGAUUCACACAAUCACACCAUUAAAACACAAAUGUAAAAUAUGAUUUCUAUACUUCUGCUCUUAAAAUAAGUUUAAUAUGUGUUCAACAUGACUACAUAUUAUUAGGGAUUGGGGGUGGCUUGGUUCAAAAAAAUCUCUGUACAAGUCGACUAUGUGCUAGCUAGCUAGAAUAUCAACGGAAAGCAUGGAGGUUGGCGGGGGCUAAGCACCCCCAAACCCCCCUAUUGGCUCCGCCACUGUAACUAACAUAUGGACAACCUUGGUUACUAUGCGAUAGUUAGGGCAUUAAAAGCCGUUGGAGACUACGUGGAUGGUGCUCUAUACCUUUUGAAAAAAAAGAUGUAUGUACGAAAAGCCAUCUCCGAUUAUGGUGAUUUGUUCAUCAUGUGGAUCUCCUUCCAUCAUAUACACAUCAUAGACACCAAAUAAUUCAGGAAGAAGGUUCUACUGCUGUUCAAGAAAGUCAAGGAUAGGGAUGAAGGUGUGGAUUCAUUCGUUGGCACGACCCACCAAUGUGUUCAAGGGUUGUUGAAGUUAUACCCAGUUUGCUACAGUUAAUGAAUCGAAGUGAAGAAGUUGCUAGAGCAAAAUCAAAGGAAGCAAGAAGAUAUAAGAUAAUGUUAGGAUUUGGGGUUUUGAAGAUAAAAUUGUGGGUUUAAUUGAUAGUUAUUUGGGUAUUAGGGUAUUUAUUUAGGUAAAUUGGGGUUUAAUAAGUAUAAAACAAUCGUUUGAUAAUAUUGGUUGUAUUUGCCAGAAAACGUCCCUAUAAUAAGUAAAAAGACGAAACGGUCCCCACUUGGGAGUCACGUGCAGCCUUUUAACGGGAAGAAACUAACAGCGUUAAGGAAAAGGACGUUUUAUGCUAAUAAUUCUUGUGACCGGGAUGAAAAGCACUAAAAAUUUUUAA